GACGAACGCUGGCGGCGUGCCUAAUACAUGCAAGUAGGACGCAGUUGCGAACGGGUGAGUAACGCGUAGGUAACUGCCUCUUAGAGGGGGAUAACUAUUGGAAACGAUAGCUAAUACCGCAUACUAGUAGAUGGACCUGCGUUGUAUUAGCUAGGAGGUAGGGUAAUGGCCUACCUAGGCGACGAUACAUAGCCGACCUGAGAGGGUGAUCGGCCACACUGGGACUGAGACACGGCCCAGACUCCUACGGGAGGCAGCAGUAGGGAAUCUUCGGCAAUGGGGGGAAGCCUGACCGAGCAACGCCGCGUGAGUGAAGAAGGUUUUCGGAACGUAAAGCUCUGUUGUUGAGGAAGCGGUACUUACACAGAAAGGGACGGCUAACUCCGUGCCAGCAGCCGCGGUAAUAC
rnacentral:rRNA from 1 species